rnacentral:siRNA from 1 species
CUGUUUAACAGCCUGCCCACCC